CCUACGGGAGGCAGCAGUGGGGAAUAUUGCACAAUGGGGGGAACCCUGAUGCAGCGACGCCGCGUGAGUGAAGAAGUAUUUCGGUAUGUAAAGCUCUAUCAGCAGGGAAGAAAAUGACGGUACCUGAGUAAGAAGCCCCGGCUAACUACGUGCCAGCAGCCGCGGUAAUACGUAGGGGGCAAGCGUUAUCCGGAUUUACUGGGUGUAAAGGGAGCGUAGACGGCAGUGCAAGUCUGGAGUGAAAGGCGGGGGCUCAACCCCGGGACUGCUCUGGAAACUGUACGGCUGGAGUGCAGGAGGGGUAAGUGGAAUGCCUGGUGUAGCGGUGAAAUGCGUAGAUAUUAGGAAGAACACCGGUGGCGAAGGCGGCUUACUGGACUGUAACUGACGUUGAGGCUCGAAAGCGUGGGGAGCAAACAGGAUUAGAUACCCUAGUAGUC
rnacentral:rRNA from 1 species